UAACCCUGACGCAGCCAUGCCGCGUGAAUGAAGAAGGCCUUCGGGUUGUAAAGUUCUUUCGGUGAUGAGGAAGGUUGUUAUGUAAAUAGCAUGACAAAUUGACGUUAUUCACAGAAGAAGCACCGGCUAACUCCGUGCCAGCAGCCGCGGUAAUACGGAGGGUGCGAGCGUUAAUCGGAAUAACUGGGCGUAAAGGGCACGCAGGCGGUUGAUUAAGUGAGGUGUGAAAUCCCUUGGGCUUAACCUAGGAAUUGCAUUUCAGACUGGUCGGCUUGAGUACUUUAGGGAGGGGUAGAAUUCCACCGUGUAGCGGUGAAAUGCCGUAGAGAUGUGGAGGAAUACCGAAGGCGAAGGCAGCCCCUUGGGAAUGUACUGACGCUCAUGUGCGAAAGCGUGGGGAGCAAACAGGC
rnacentral:rRNA from 1 species